CCCUUAGAUGUUCUGGGCCGCACGCGCGCUACACUGAUGCAUUCAACGAGCCUAGCCUUGACCGAGAGGUCCGGGUAAUCUUUGAAACUGCAUCGUGAUGGGGCUAGAUUAUUGCAAUUAUUAAUCUUCAACGAGGAAUGCCUAGUAAGCGUGAUUCAUCAAAUCGCGUUGAUUACGUCCCUGCCCUUUGUACACACCGCCCGUCGCUCCUACCGAUUGAGUGUGUUGGUGAGGAGUUUGGAUUGGCCUCGGAAGGUGGUUCGCCACCGUCCGUAGCUGAGAAGUUCUCCAAACCGCCCACUUAGAGGAAGGAGAAGUCGUAACA
rnacentral:rRNA from 1 species